AUAGAAGUAUGAAUAAAUAUCAAUAAAUAGGGAAUUUUAAACUGAAAACAGAAUAUAUUGCACAGGAGUAUUAAUCAGAGACUAUUGCACGAUUGUUAUAAGUAUUGCAGAGAUGUUAAUGAUCCAAUGUCCAGUUUAGUGACCUAGGGUCAUACAGACUGACACUUAGAGGGAGGAGUUAAAGAGUUUGAUGGCCACAGGCAGGAAUGACUUCCUGUGGCGCUCUGAGGUGCAUUGUGGGGGGAUGAGUCUUUCGCUGCAGGUACUAAUAUAUGGUCUACCUAAAAAAGCGUGCACUUGCGGCCAUAAAACACAUCACGCAAACUAAAUGCCACUUUUUUUAUAACUCUGAAAGUUACAUACGAACGCAUAAAAAUUGUCGUAAAUUAAUAAAAAACUUCGUAAAAAAGCGUUUGAAGUUUCUGCGCGGUGUUUGCAGUGAUCGGGUCGAUUAAAACUUAUCAGAUUAGUGUGAAAUCUUACGUAUAUUUAAGUCUUUUCAUUCAACAUGUUAUCAGGGGAGAGCGCGAACGCAGUCCCCCACUACCAGAAAUUAUGCAGUCGAGAUUCCCACAUUUGGGGAAUUCGCAGAGGUCAGCUCAGCCGGAGUGCAAUGGUUAAGCCUCGCCCUGGGUGAACCACCUUCUUGAUCAUGGUAUCUCCCCUGCCAGGUAAGUAUGAGUUGUACACAUCGGAGGCGAGCCACUCUUUCACGGACAGACCGAGCUCACCGACGGUGCUGACAAAUUAAUAAACCCAGAGGCUAUUGGGGGGCGAAUCUACAGGAAUUUAACACACAAGAAACGGUUCUGUACUGAGGCUGAAAAACAUUAUUUUACACUAAUUUACUUGAUAAAUAAUAGCUAUAUUUCCCAUCAUGCAAUGCUGCCUUCCCAUAUUACAAGCUAACUUAAAAUCAACAGUUUUAUCUAUUUUACCUCCAACAAAUGAGUAACAGCCCAGCGGCAAGUUCAAGCGAGCCAAAGCUAAAAUCAUACUGCAAUCACAAGUUGUUUGAUCCACUUUUGAAAUUCAGAAGAAUUAAAAUAAAAAAACACACAAACCACACUCCCCCCCUCACAUUACAACCACUUCCUGUUUCUUUGUUUACUGCUGGUGGGCGACCCACAUUCCUGCUACUGCCACCUGCUGCUCUGGAGAGUGAACAACGCUGGCCGUUUUACAAAGCAGGAUUUUUAACAUGCUGUACAGUAAAACACACUGCAGUUCAACAACAGUAAUCUAUAUAUACUGUAUGUGUCUCUGUAUACGGCUAACUGCAAGGACAAAUAAUCAUACAACUGAAAUAAACUGCACACAUACACAGUGUUUCUCGGGCUGUGAAACAACACUAGAGAGCAAAAGAUGCCUAAAAGAUUCAAUCCAAUCAAUCAGAGUGAGGACUUAAGAAUAAAUGCAUGUUUUCAUAUUUUUCAUUAAAUGUGGAAAGGGCAGUGAACACAGCACGUUUCUCUUUGCAAUCUGCUUUUCUCACUCAGCAAUUACUUCUUUAAACAGUUGCAUGCAUGUAACAUUAAACCACUUUGCAGCCUCUUGCUGUCGAUUCAAGAAUAAUGAACACGACAUUAAUUUACAAAUUAAGUGUGCAGUUAAUAGUCUCUGAAGAGAAAACAACAGUAUUUCCAUCUUUUAUUAACAUUCAACAUAGAGAGGGGGGUGCACCGGUCCUGGAGGUUCUGCAAUACCAGGUCGAUGCGUGGAGUGGACGGAGCAAGCCCCUAUUCCAUCUCCCUGCUCCAAAAAUCAAUUUAAUAUAUGGUCCCCGGGUAGGGGACGUAUCAGAUAUUAAACUGAUAAGAACAGAUACUACACUUGAUCUUAGCCAAAAGGCCGAGAAGCGAUACUGCAAACAGGUCGGAGGCAACGACCUGCUUCCCCGCACCGGGUCCCUCACUGACGGGUCUGAAGGCCGGCGUGACGCUUUAACUACAGGCGGGGAAAUAAGAGUAAAGCACGACGGACGACAGUCGAGGAAACUGUCGCAGUCGCUACAUGGAUGUUAUUUUAAAGAAAUACACGCAUCAACAAAUGUGGCUCCUCGGCGCUUCCUGGUCACGUGGUGCCUUAUAAUCCAAUAGGAAUUGAGAGCAGGAGACGCACACUUGCAACACCGUUACAAUACACACAGCUGUGUGUGUAUUUUACAUUGAUGUUAAUGCUAACACCUGACUGAUGAUGCGCUUUUUAUGACAAAGCGUCUGUUUUCAAAAACAAAAGCAGCUCCGACAGUCUCUAGUGGACAUAAGACCUAACUGCAGUUAGCACCAGUUUACAUACAAAAACACAAAUACUGCAGCAGCAAAUGCUCCUUCAAAAGCUUAAAAAUAUAUAUAUAUGCUUUAAUGUGCAAACUGGGGCCUGUUGCACAAAAGUAGAAUUAAGACAUCCGGGAUAAAUGACUCAGCUGAGCUCAAUAAAGCCAAAACAUGUGCGUCCAGGCUUAAUUGGUUGCACAAAGACCAAGCCAGGAUGAGCAGACACGGAUUCAUUAAGCCAGGUGAAACCAAUCCUGGAUAGGUGCGCGCUCACGGCUCACUCAAAUAGACCCCGCCACAGAUCACAGAUUAACUGAUUUACCAUGGCAACUAGAGCCGCGUACUUUUCCCCGUCGGAAGCACAAAUCCUCAUGGAGGCAUACGAGGAGGUAAAAGAUAUAAUUAAGAAGAAAGGCAACACCGCCACAGUGAUAAAGCAAAGAGAAAAAGCGUGGCAAAGUAUUGCAGACCGCCUGAAUGCAUUAAACAUGAACGGGCCAAAACGGACAUGGCAGCAGGUCAAAAUCAAAUACAAGAACAUUCUGCAGAAUGCAGUGAAAAAGAAUACCCACAGACAAGGCACGGGUGGUGGGUCACCAAAGGCUGACCUUACCCCAGCAGAGGACAUGGCCUUGGAGCUAAAUAAAGGCAGGCCCGUCUUAGAGGGGAUCCCUGGGGGGAAAGAGACGAGCAUAGGUUCCUCCCAAGAUGCCACCCGCUUCAUUCAAGUGUCUGGAAGCACUGUGUUCCUGUUAGAGCCACCAGCACAAGUACCAGACGAUGCUGAUCCAGGUGAAAGCCCCAGUGCAGCAGCAACAGCACAUGAUGGAGACGAUGAUGAGGAGGAGACCAUCUCUGUGGAUUCCAGAAGGCAUGAGGACCCAGAUGCUAUACAGUGGGAAAACCAGCCUGGCAACAUAAGCUCACAAGCUAUCAGAAAGUUGUAUGGCAACCACCUCCGGCGCCAAAUAGAACUGGCAGACAUAGACAUUCAGUACAAGAAGAAAAAGAUAGAAAAUCUUGCACUGGAGUCCGAAAUAAAAAAGAGGACAAUUAGGAAACUGGACCUUGAAAUAAAAAAACUUGAGAGGGAGGUGAGAUAUGCCUUCAAUGUACACUGUAUGCUAACUGUAACACAAAUGUAUUAAUCAUUAUUUUUCUUUCCUCCCCCAGCUCCAAGAAGAUGACACAGCUCAAAAUAAAAAUUAGCAAUCAGUACAACCAAGUCAUCGUUAUAAGGCACCGGCCUCUUUUGCCCACCCC